UCCUGCUGAUUAGGGGUACCAGAUUCCU
rnacentral:piRNA from 1 species